rnacentral:rRNA from 1 species
AAUAGAUACCCGGGUAGUCCAGGGUGUAAACGCUGCGGGCUUGGUGUUGGGGGUCCUUAGUGGGCGCCCAGUGCCGGAGAGAAGUUGUUAAGCCUGCUGCUUGGGGAGUAUGUCCGCAAGGAUGAAACUUAAAGGAAUUGGCGGGGGGAGCACCGCAACGGGGAGGAGCGUGCGGUUCAAUUGGAUUCAACGCCGAAAAACCUCACCAGGAGCGACGGAUAUAUGAAGGUCAAGCUGAUGACUUUACCUGAUUUUCCGAGAGGUGGUGCAUGGCCGUCGUCAGUUCGUACCGUAAGGCGUUCUCUUAAGUGAGAUAACGAACGAGACCCUCACCAUUAAUUGCUAGUCCUUUCUCCGGAGGGGGCGCACAUUAAUGGGACCGCUGGCGCUAAGUCAGAGGAAGGAGAGGUCAACGGUAGGUCCGUAUGCCCCGAAUCCCCUGGGCAACACGCGCGCUACAAAGGGUGGGACAAUGGGCUUCGACACCGAAAGGUGAAGACAAUCCUCAAACCCAUCCAUAGUUCGGAUCGGGGGCUGUAACCCGCCCCGUGAAGCUGGAUUCCGUAGU